AGUAACACGUGGAUAACCUACCUAUAAGACUGGGAUAACUUCUGUAAACCGUAGCUAAUACCGGAUAAUAUAUUGAACCGCAUGGUUCAAUAGUGAAAGACGGUUCUGCUGUCACUUAUAGAUGGAUCCGCGCCGCAUUAGCUAGUUGGUAAGGUAACUGCUUACCAAGGCAACGAUGCGUAGCCGACCUGAGAGGGUGAUCGGCCACACUGGAACUGAGACACGGUCCAG
rnacentral:rRNA from 1 species